rnacentral:lncRNA from 1 species
CCUCCACACUCUCCACAGUCAAAACCAGUCCAGUGCUGUCAUUAGCAUCUUCCACUUCCUCAACUGUGUCCUCCACAUCGCAUCCCACCUCCACCCAGAAAAUGACAACUGUGCCACACAUUGUGCUGCCAGUCACCACAGAGAAGACUACUCUCACUGUGUCUGCCACCAGCACCACCACAACCUCUGUCUCCAGCGAGGCCAGUCCCACCAGCAGCCCAGAAGUCCCACUGACAACGACAUCCCCCGCCCCCAGCAGCACUCUCAGCACAAGACUGCCAUCUGCUGCUCCGUCCACACUCUCCUCCACACCGAAGAUCAGGCCUACAACCCUGAGGCCUGAGUCUUCAUCCAUGACAACCAGUGCUCCAGCAGAGUCGCCUACACCUGCAUCCUCCACAACCUCCACAGCCAAAACCAGCCUGCUGUCAUUGUCUCCGUCUUCCUUCUCUACUGUGUCCUCAACAGCAGUGAGCACAUCAUAUCCCACAACAACCCACAAAGUGACAACUGUGCUGCACAUGGUGCCAUAUAUCACCACAGAGAAGACCACUCCCACCAUGUCUUCUGUCAGUACCUCCAAGAUCUCCAUCUCCAGUGAAGCCAGCCCCACUAGCACCCCAGAAAUCCCACUGACAACAACAUCCCCUGCCCCUAGCAGCACUCUCAGCACCAGACUGCCAACUCCUGCCCCAUCUACACUCUUAUCCACCUCGCCCUUAACCUCCGCUCCAAAGCCCACACCUCCAACACUGAGGCUCAAGCCCUCUUCCCUGACAACCAGUGCUCCAGCAGAGUCACCUACAACUGCAUUCUCCACACUCUCCACAGCGAAAACCAGCCUGCUGCCAUCAUCUGUUUCUUCCCUCUUCUCAACUGUAUCCUCAACAGCACUAAGCACGUUGCUUCCUGCAACCUCCACCCACAAAACAACUGUGGUGCACGUGGUGCCAUAUAUCAUCACGGAGAUGACCACCCCCACUAUGUCUUCCAUCAGCACCUCCAAGACCUCCAUCUCCAGUGAGGCCAGCCCCACCAGCAGCUCAGGAUUCCCACUGACAACAACAUCCCCUGCCCUCAGCAGCACUCUCAGCACUAAGCUGCCAUCUGCUGCUCCGUCCACACACUCUACCUCACUCCCAACCUCCACACCAAAGCCCAUGCCUACGACCCUAAGGCCCAAGCCUUCUUCCCCGACAACCAGUGCUCCAACAGAGACACCUUUACCUGUCUUCUCAACACCCUCCACAGCCAAAACCAGCCCGCUGCCAUCAUCUGCAUCUUUUCCCUUUUCAACCGCGUCUUCGACAGCACUGAGCACAUUACAACCCUGUAAGUCUGCACUUAGUUCUUCCUACUGCUCUGCCUGCUCUUCCCAGUUCUCACCUCUGUUUCCUACCUCGCAGCACAAGCCAUGCAGUGUUCACCCUCCAUGUUGUUAUCACCCUCCUUACCUUCUGCAUUUGUCAUUUCAUUUCUGGGAUGUAUAUUGAGGUUCUGGGAGCAUGCUCUGGUUUGAGUUGGGGUGGAACUUCUUUUCCUCCUAGGAGCAGCUAGCCUGAUGCUCUGCUUUGUGAUCAUCAGUGCCGGGAAUAUAGCAGUGCUUUAGCUGUUUCUGAGGCAUGCUUCACAGCACUGAGGCAUGCUCCAUAUCUUAUUGGCCACAUGCAUGUCCUA